rnacentral:rRNA from 1 species
UACAGAGGGGGCGAGCGUUGUUCGGAGUUACUGGGCGUAAAGGGCGCGUAGGCGGCCUGCUAAGUCGAACGUGAAAUCCCUGGGCUCAACCCAGGAACUGCGUCCGAUACUGGUUGGCUUGAAUCCGGGAGAGGGAUGUGGAAUUCCAGGUGUAGCGGUGAAAUGCGUAGAUAUCUGGAGGAACACCGGUGGCGAAGGCGACAUCCUGGACCGGUAUUGACGCUGAGGCGCGAAAGCCAGGGGAGCAAACGGG